UGCAUGACUGUAACAUGAUUAUGCGCAUGUUAAGUUAAGUUUAUUUUACGUUCGUGCUACCCGUCAGUGGUAUGGUUCCAAUAUUAUUUGUUUUAUUUCUCUUAAUAUACUUCUUAUUGUAUGCUGAACGAGUUUACACCAACUAUGUAUGUAUUUGUCCGUAAAUUGUGUAUUUGAUAUUUGAUGUGAUAAAAAUACUGUAUAAGUAGACUACAAUGGAUUUGUUAAAGAGUAUAGUUUAUGCGGAGUGGCACACGGUUGUUGUGGAGGCCCGCGCGGCCUGAUAUAGACACUGACAGACAGGAGAGUGAGACAAGUGGAGACGGUUUGCUAGCUACGGGUCUCCCUCGUAGGACUCGGGAAUAAGGUCGCCCCUCCUGUUCUAUAGACUGGUUAUGAAAGUGAGACGUCAGUGGAUUACCUAUCAAUUAUCAAAGCACCAGUGACGUAUCCGGCUGUUGGGGAUUCCACGCCAUAGUAUUUUCAACACAACUGACGCUGGCAAUGUUGUGAGUGUUAUGGUUAUUGUGUAUUUGUGUGAUUUUUGUCAUGCUAUGAUUUACAGUGAUAUGUAUGAGGAUUUUCUGAGCUUUAUAAUGAUGUGAGUCACACAGGGUAUUUAUCCAUUGUUUGGGAGGUUUAUCAUAUUGUGAACUGCAGAGAUAUUUUUGUGAUUUCUGUACUUAUUAUACUAUGAGGUACAUGGGAACUAUUCAAGGUCUGAUCAUGUUAUGUAGUGAUUAUUUUUGUAUUUUUAGUGUUUCUACGCUCAUAUGAUUUUACCAUGAUUUGGUAUCGGGCUGAUUUAUCCUGGACCCACAGGUUGGAACGCUACAAUAAAUGUUGCAACACA